AAUGAUUUCUGCAAUUUUCCACAACUAAGUAAUGCCAUAAUUGCUUAAGCUGUUCAUGAAAAAGAAUGAAAAAUGUCGUCUGUGACUGUCACCUGUCAGUGAUAACGUCGUCUGUGAUGAAUUCAGUCAGAUGCCGACCUUUUAUCCGGUACUUCAAUCUUGCCUUAAGGAUCACAACAAGAAUUACCAGUAAUGCACUUAUUCUUCGAUCAUGGGAGACCUUAGCUUCCUACACAGCGAUCAGUCUUCCCCAAUAGAAUAUGUUGAUAUAUAACCUCACAGUAAAUUUGUACAGGGAUACUCUUAUGGGCUUUUUUUCUAUCGAGGAGAAUGGAAUACUGCCACAUGCAAACAAAAUUGUUCCCAUUUUGAAGAUAACAUGACAGAUAACUGUCAGACAUCAUUGAAGUCAACAAUAAGUGAUGACCGCUUCUUAAGCUGUCAUCAGUCAGAUGCAGCAAAUGUGGAUGUCCUACAUGUUGUUGGCAUUGGCCUUUUUCGUUUACAACCUUGCAGUAAGCUGGAUCGUCCACCGACUGAAAAGCCGAAAUGAUAACCACACUACCACUAACGUUACCAAUGGCACCACAAAUGUCCCAAGAAGAAUAUUAUCUCGAUGGUCGCUACUGAUCGACUGUCUUUUUCGACCCCUGUUCUCUGACCCAGCACACAGUCUACAGGAUUUAGAACUUGACGAAAGUGUUGAACAAUUCCUUGAACGCCUUGCAUUACCUAGUUUGUGGCUGACGCCCACCGUGCCAACGGAUUACCUGAAAUUCCUCCCUGUUUGGCGAUUUGAAGGCGGCAGUGCUGAAGAGCCGCAGACCAUGAACUGGAUCCCAGAUGCGGAUUGCGCUAUUUGCUUGGACAAAUACCGCGUCGCUGUUGACGUUUGCGGUCUACCGUGCGGUCAUCAGUUUCAUCGUAAUUGUAUCAUGGUCUGGCUGCAGCGAGACAAUCAUCAUUGUCCAACUUGCAGAUGGCCAGCUUAUCAAAACAAAAGUUUUUCUAUUUAAUGUGAUCUCAUUUUGUAUAAAUUGCACUUUUAUUUUAAUUUGGACUCGAAUUUCUAUUUUGACUUGAAUUGACUUUUUAACAUAACUAAAACGAUGAAUCAGUUCAGAUAUGAAUGUUAGUCUUAUUUUAAUCAUUGAUUUCUUCAACUCAUCUAUGCCCAAAUAUUUAUCGAUGUCAAGUGUCGCCUCAAGAGAUUCUUGAGAAGCAUUUUUUUUUCGGUCAGAUAUGCCAAACUUCUGUGAUUCAGUGAUUUUGUCUGUGAUAAUAACGUGCACUUCCCAGAUAAGUUCUCACAUUUUUCUAAUUAUUUAUCUCUGUAUAAAGCGAAAAUGUGUGGCUAUAUUUUUAUUUUUUCAAUAAACAAACCCUUUAAUAA